AACGAUCUGCCUGGUUUAACUGACACAGAGAAGCCAAGGAUGAGGGGUCCCAAAAGGGCCUCCAAGAUCAGGAAGCUGUUCAAUCUUGCAAAGGAUGACGACGUGCGCAAGUACGCGAACACGUACCGCAGGACAUUCACUACCAAGAAUGGCAAGAAGGUGAGCAAGGCACCUAAGAUCCAGCGGCUUGUGACCCCCUUGACCUUCCAGAGGAAGCGUGCUAGAAUUGCUGACAAGAAGAAGAGGAUCGCUAAGAAGAAGUCUGAGGCUGCUGAGUACCAGAAGCUUCUUGCCCAGAGGCUGAAGGAACAGAGGGACCGCCGCAGUGAGAGCUUGGCCAAGAGGAGGUCUAAGCUUUCUGCUGCCGCCAAGGCUUCUGCUGCCACCUCUGCCUAAGAAUGUUCAGUGCUUUGAGAUGUUUUCAAGGCCUAUUUUGUUACAGCUUAUAAGUACCUUAUGCUGCCCUGGAUGUGUUGCAUCAGUCGAUCCUCCCUACUUAGACUUAUGAGUAAUUGUUGCAAUUUUGUAUGGACAUGGUACUGGCUUGUCGGGAUUUUUUGAGUACCAGAGGUUUGCUAUGUUGUUUUAUUCUGUGAACGUCA